rnacentral:rRNA from 1 species
GAUGAACGCUAGCGGCAGGCUUAACACAUGCAAGUCGAGGGGCAGCGCGGGAUAGCAAUAUCCUGGCGGCGACCGGCGGAAGGGUGCGUAACGCGUGAGCGACAUGCCCGUUGCCCGGGGACAACCGGUGGAAACGCCGACUAAUCCCCGAUGGGAUAUUGUGCCGCAUGCACGAUAUUGAAAGUUACGGCGGCGACGGAUUGGCUCGCGUCCGAUUAGCUUGUUGGCGGGGUAACGGCCCACCAAGGCUGCGAUCGGUAGGGGUUCUGAGAGGAAGGCCCCCCACAAUGGGACUGAGACACGGCCCAUACUCCUACGGGCGGCAGCAGUGAGGAAUAUUGGACAAUGGGCGGAAGCCUGAACCAGCCAUGCCGCGUGCGGGAAGGAGGCCCUAUGGGCUGUGAACCGCUUUUGCCUGGGGGCAAUAAGGGCGUCGCGCACGUCCGAUGAGAGUACCAGGCGAAUAAGCAUCGGCUAACUCCGUG